GACGAACGCUGGCGGCGUGCUUAACACAUGCAAGUCGAACGAAGAGCGAUGGAAGCUUGCUUCUAUCAAUCUUAGUGGCGAACGGGUGAGUAACGCGUAAUCAACCUGCCCUUCAGAGGGGGACAACAGUUGGAAACGACUUCUAAUACCGCAUACGAUCUGACCUCGGCAUCGAGGAUAGAUGAAAGGUGGCCUCUACAUGUAAGCUAUCACUGAAGGAGGGGAUUGCGUCUGAUUAGCUAGUUGGAGGGGUAACGGCCCACCAAGGCGAUGAUCAGUAGCCGGUCUGAGAGGAUGAACGGCCACAGUGGGACUGAGACACGGCCCAGACUCCUACGGGAGGCAGCAGUGGGGAAUCUUCCGCAAUGGACGAAAGUCUGACGGAGCAACGCCGCGUGAGUGAUGACGGCCUUCGGGUUGUAAAGCUCUGUUAAUCGGGACGAAAGGCCUUUUUGCGAAUAGUGAGAAGGAUUGACGGUACCGGAAUAGAAAGCCACGGCUAACUACGUG
rnacentral:rRNA from 1 species